rnacentral:rRNA from 1 species
UGGGGAACAUUGGACAAUGGACCAAGAGUCUGAUCCAGCAAUUCUGUGUGCACGAUGAAGUUUUUCGGAAUGUAAAGUGCUUUCAGUUGGGAAGAAAGAAAUGACGGUACCAACAGAAGAAGUGACGGCUAAAUACGUGCCAGCAGCCGCGGUAAUACGUAUGUCACGAGCGUUAUCCGGAUUUAUUGGGCGUAAAGCGCGUCUAGGUGGUUAUGUAAGUCUGAUGUGAAAAUGCAGGGCUCAACUCUGUAUUGCGUUGGAAACUGUAUAACUAGAGUACUGGAGAGGUAAGCGGAACUACAAGUGUAGAGGUGAAAUUCGUAGAUAUUUGUAGGAAUGCCGAUGGGGAAGCCAGCUUACUGGACAGAUACUGACGCUGAAGCGCGAAAGCGUGGGUAGCAAACAGGAUUAGAUACCCUGGUAGUCCACGCCGUAAACGAUGAUUACUAGGUGUUGGGGGUCGAACCUCAGCGCCCAAGCAAACGCGAUAAGUAAUCCGCCUGGGGAGUACGUACGCAAGUAUG